rnacentral:rRNA from 2 species
CAAGUCGAACGAGAAGCUAACUUCUGAUUCCUUCGGGAUGAUGAGGUUAGCAGAAAGUGGCGAACGGGUGAGUAACGCGUGGGUAAUCUACCCUGUUAAGUGGGGGAUAACCCUCCGAAAGGAGGGCUAAUACCGCAUAAUAUCUUCUCCUCUAAAAGAGGUAAAGAUUAAAGAUGGCCUCUAUACUAUGCUAUCACUUCAGGAUGAGCCCGCGUCCUAUUAGUUAGUUGGUGGGGUAAUGGCCUACCAAGGCGACAAUGGGUAGCCGGUCUGAGAGGAUGUACGGCCACACUGGGACUGAGAUACGGCCCAGACUCCUACGGGAGGCAGCAGUGGGGAAUAUUGCGCAAUGGGGGAAACCCUGACGCAGCGACGCCGCGUGGAUGAUGAAGGCCCUUGGGUUGUAAAAUCCUGUUCUGGGGGAAGAAAGCUUAAAGGUUCAAUAAACCCUUAAGCCUGACGGUACCCCAAGAGAAAGCUCCGGCUAAUUAUGUGCCAGCAGCCGCGGUAAUACAUAAGGAGCAAGCGUUAUCCGGAAUUAUUGGGCGUAAAGAGCUCGUAGGCGGUCUUAAAAGUCAGUUGUGAAAUUAUCAGGCUCAACCUGAUAAGGUCAUCUGAAACUCUAAGACUG